CCCUUAGUAACGGCGAGCGAAAAGGGAAGAGUCCAGCGCCAAGUCUUGACGUCAAAGCGUUCAAGAGAUGCGGCGUUAAUGUAUUAUCGCAUCGUACAUUGUUGCCUAUUUCAAGUUCCCUUGACAGGGACAUCCAUAGCGGGUGCUAGGCCCAUAGAGAUAGAUAACCAGUGUGCGCAGGUAAUGCAUUCUAGAGUCAGGUUGCUUGAGAGUGCAGCUUAAAGUGGGUGGUAAACUCCAUCUAAGGCUAAAUAUGACAGCGAGACCGAUAGCAAACAAGUACCGUGAGGGAAAGUUGCAAAGCACUUUGAAGAGAGAGUUCAACAGUACGUGAAACCACUGGGAGGCAAACAGAUGGAACCACGAAGUUGUGCCUCGCUCGAUUCAAUCAUUGAAACUGGUUACCGGUUUUUGUGUGGAUCUUUUCGGAGAUUAGCAAAUGUCGUGGAACUGGUUUCAAUGGUGCAUUUCGUGUGAGGAUGCUAAGCCACGUUCGAUUAGAGUUGGGACGGCCGUAGGACAGAAUUCGAGGAAGGUGACCGGAAAGUGCUUGCAUUUUUCGGUGUUAUAGCCUUGAAUUGGUACCGUCGCCUAACAAACUGAUCGAUAUAAAUUCUCCAUGUAGAGUUUAACUGUGUCUGCCUGUAACUGCUAGUCAAUGUUUCGAAGUGUUCUUUACGUAUCUUUGGUGCGGAAAGGCAUCUCAACGAUGUUGGCUAGUGGCUGCUUGCGUGACAUGGUGGAACUGUGGCCCGAGUAGGUCGGUUUCCCUCUGACCC
rnacentral:rRNA from 1 species